GCCAAGAUAGCUCAGUCGGUAGAGCGACAGACUGAAAAUUUGUGCGUGGGCGGUUCGAUCCCGUCUCUUGGUA